rnacentral:sRNA from 1 species
ACUAGUUUCAUAGUUCUUUAGGGUUAUUUUUUAAAACUCCUUGGAUAGCCUCCGCCAGCUCCCGGCAGGAGGCGUUUUUU